UGAUGACGAGACGCUAAGGCGUUGAAGCAGUGUAUAUCAGACUUCCAAGAAAAGCUCGCAAUGUCACAAAUAAGAAAUGCCUGUACCAUAACCGACACAGGUGGGUAGGUAGAGUAUACUAAGGGGCGCGAGAUAACUCUCUCUAAGGAACUCGGCAAAAUGACUCCGUAACUUCGGGAGAAGGAGUGCCUUAUUUAUAAGGUUGCAAUAACAAGAUCCAAGCAACUGUUUAUCAAAAACACAGGUCUCCGCUAAGUCGUAAGACGAUGUAUGGGGGCUGACGCCUGCCCAGUGCCAGAAGGUUAAAGAAGUUGGUUAGUGUAUGCGAAGCUGAUGACUGAAGCCCUGGUGAACGGCGGCCGUAACAAUAACGGUCCUAAGGUAGCGAAAUUCCUUGUCGGGUAAGUUCCGACCCGCACGAAAGGCGUAAUGAUUUGGAUACUGUCUCGGAGAGAGGCUCGGUGAAAUAGACUUGUCUGUGAAGAUGCGGACUACCUGCACCAGGACAGAAAGACCCUAUGAAGCUUUACUGUAACUUGAAAUUGGAAUUGGACUUUGCUUGCGCAGUAUAGGUGGGAAGCGUUGAAAAUAUUCUUGCGGGAGUAUUGGAGCUAUCAGUGAGAUACCACUCUUGUAAUGUUAGAUUUCUAACUUUGAACCAUAAUCUGGUCAAAGAACAGUUUCAGGUGGGCAGUUUGACUGGGGCGGUCGCCUCCCAAAUGGUAACGGAGGCGUACAAAGGUUUCCUCUGAACGGAUAGAAAUCGUAUCUAGAGUAUAAAGGCAUAAGGAAGCUUGACUGUGAGACCUACAAGUCGAGCAGGGACGAAAGUCGGUCUUAGUGAUCUGACGGUACUGAGUGGAAAGGCCGUCACUCAACGGAUAAAAGUUACUCUAGGAUAACAGGCUGAUCUCCCCCAAGAGUUCACAUCGACGGGGAGGUUUGGCACCUCGAUGUCGGCUCAUCGCAUCCUGGGGCGGUAGUACGUCCCAAGGGUUGGGCUGUUCGCCCAUGAAAGCGGUACGCGAGCUGGGUUCAGAACGUCGUGAGACAGUUCGGUCCAUAUCCGGUGUAGGCGCUAGAAUAUUGAGAGGAGCCUUCUUUAGUACGAGAGGACCGAGAAGGACACACCGCUGGUGUACCAGUUAUCGUGCCAACGGUAAACGCUGGGUAGCUAUGUGUGGAGUGGAUAACCGCUGAAAGCAUCUAAGUGGGAAGCCCACCUCGAGAUGAGUAUUCUC
rnacentral:rRNA from 1 species